rnacentral:misc_RNA from 1 species
GAUGAAGAACGCAGCGAAGUGCGAUACGUAAUGUGAAUUGCAGAAUUCAGUGAAUCAUCGAGUCUUUGAACGCACAUUGCGCCCCCUGGUAUUCCGGGGGGCAUGCCUGUCCGAGCGUCAUUGCUGCCCUCAAGCACGGCUUGUGUGUUGGGCCUCCGUCCUCCUCCCGGGGGACGGGCCCGAAAGGCAGCGGCGGCACCGCGUCCGGUCCUCGAGCGUAUGGGGCUUCGUCACCCGCUCUUGUAGGCCCGGCCGGCGCUUGCCGACACAUCAAUCUUUUUUCCAGGUUGACCUCGGAUCAGGUAGGGAUACCCGCUGAACUUAAGCAUAUCAAAAAGCGGAGGA